rnacentral:tRNA from 1 species
GCAAGGGUUCCCGAGAGGCCAAAGGGGAAGGACUUAAUAUCCUUUGGUGUAGACCUACGAGGGUUCGAAUCCCUUCCCUUGCA